UGAAGGUUACCACCACCAGCCUCGGUUACCGUCUUGCCGCGAGCCGCUCAUUAAUGCGAACCCGAAUAAAAUAAUGGGGAACGUUGAAACCUUUGAGUCUCUUGAAGAUUUCAAUGCAUGUCUACAACAGUACGAGGGAGACACGAACACAAAAUUUAUCGUUUUGAAGAGCGAUCGUGCAUUUGGCAGAAAUGAUCUGACAGUGGAAAAACAGCUUCAGUGGGAAGUGAAGAUUGUUCAUUUCAAUGGCAUGCCUUUUAAGAUAAUUGGGAAAAAGACAUAUAUAUGUCACCAAGGAAGAGACAAGCAUGCCAAAGCCAAACAAAGACGUCAGGAGAGUAAUCCACAAGGUCAUGAAUAUGCAUGCCUUAAAACAAGACGCCUGAUGCAACCAACUAAAAAAAUGGGUUGUCCUGCAACCAUAAAUGUUGUUCAUAUUGUGAGGUUUCCUGAGUAUAAAAUAACGGAAGAUAACUCGUAUCAGAAACGAGAAAAGUCUUCAGCUGUUAGAGAAGCCCUAAGACUAGAUCCAAAGCGUGUGCGCACAGAAGAAAUGUUUGCAGCCAGCUUCCCAGAUGUUAAAGAGCAUCAAAACCACCCUGUUUUUGGAAAGGAAUCAAGAGACAUUCGGAACAUCAUGAAAGAGGUCAAGGCAGAAAACAGGUGCAGACCAUCAUAAUCUACAGUGUCCGCUGCUUUGAGAAUCACAACGCAUUAUUUUAACAAUGUCUUUACUACAUUUCUGGGCCUUGAACGUGGUAGUUCUGUGGUAGCUGGAACGACAUUAGGGCCUUGGUAAACACAUGGAAAGAAGAGGGCUGUGCCGUUGAGUACAGACCCUCUCAGGAGGAAGAGGAGGAGGAUGGUA
ensembl:lncRNA